rnacentral:rRNA from 1 species
UACGGAGGGUGCAAGCGUUGUUCGGAUUUAUUGGGCGUAAAGCGCGUGUAGGCGGUUUCUUAAGUCUGAUGUGAAAGCCCUGGGCUCAACCCAGGAAGUGCAUUGGAUACUGGGAGACUUGAAUACGGGAGAGGGUAGUGGAAUUCCUAGUGUAGGAGUGAAAUCCGUAGAUAUCUGGAGGAACACCGGUGGCGAAGGCGGCAUCCUGGACCAAUAUUGACGCUGAGGAGCGAAAGCCAGGGGAGCAAACGGG